GGGUACCCAGUUAAAUUGGAAUUUCAAAUAAACGGCAAAUGAUUUUUUUAGUUAUAAGUAUAUCCUAAGCCAUGUUUGGGACAUACUUAUACUAAAAAAUUAUUUGCUGUUUAUCUGAAAUUCUCAUUUCAGAAAU
rnacentral:miRNA from 1 species